rnacentral:rRNA from 1 species
AAGUUACUCCGGGGAUAACAGAGUUGUCGCGCCUAAGAGUUCAUAUCGACGGCGCGGCUUGCUUCAUCGAUGUCGGCUCUUCCUAUCCUGGUCGUGCAGAAGCGACCAAGGGUGGGGGUGUUCACCCAUUAAAAGGGAUCGUGAGCUGGGUUCAGAACGCUGUGAGGCAGUUUGUUUGAUAUCUACUGGAGAUGUUGAUGUCUGAAGGGAAGGACCCUUUAGUACGAGAGGAACGAGGGUUCGGCGCCUCUGGUCUACCGGUUAUCCGAAAGGGUAAGCUGGGCAGCUACGCGCCAAGGGAUAAGAGCUGAAAGCAUCUAAGCUCGAAACCCGCCUUGAAAAUAGACAUCAUAGGAUACGAGUAAAAUACUCGUUUAAUGGAACUGAUGUGUAAGUACGAAGCUUCGGCGACGUAUUCAGCAUGCAGUCCCCAACAGUCCAUUUACCAACUAUG